UGGGGAAUAUUGCGCAAUGGGCGAAAGCCUGACGCAGCGACGCCGCGUGAGGGAUGAAGGUUUUCGGAUCGUAAACCUCUGUCAGAAGGGAAGAAACCGCACUGUGCUAAUCAGCAGUGCCUUGACGGUACCUUCAAAGGAAGCACCGGCUAACUCCGUGCCAGCAGCCGCGGUAAUACGGAGGGUGCAAGCGUUAAUCGGAAUUACUGGGCGUAAAGCGCACGUAGGCUGCUUUGUAAGUCAGGGGUGAAAUCCCACGGCUCAACCGUGGAACUGCCUUUGAUACUGCUUAGCUUGAAUCCGGGAGAGGGUGGCGGAAUUCCAGGUGUAGGAGUGAAGUCCGUAGAUAUCUGGAGGAACAUCAGUGGCGAAGGCGGCCACCUGGACCGGUAUUGACGCUGAGGUGCGAAAGCGUGGGGAGCAAACAGG
rnacentral:rRNA from 1 species